ensembl:lncRNA
CGAUUAUCUGGGAAGUUUCAGGUCUUCAGACUUUUAUUUCUAUGGUGAAACUUAUUCUAAUUUCCAGCCCAAGAUUCUGGAACACAUCUCCCAUUAUGAAGUGGGCCUCAGGGUGGGAGUGGAAGCAGAACCUCUUGUUCACACUCCACACCCUCAUUUUCCAGCAGUGAAGGUAGACUAUUAAGGCUCUCAUGUCAUCAAGGAUGGAGGCAAUGGGAUAAUGGAGAUUCUAGACAUUUGUUUCGUCACCAGCGAAAAUUAAAUGAAGACUCAGGAAUCACUACAGCUACAGGGAUGAGAAGGACAUUUCAGCAGCUACAGUGUGGUGGAAACAAUUACAGAAAUUGGAAAAUAAUUAAAAACAGACAUUUGAAGGCACUGGAAAAUAACCAAAGGAAGACAAAAACUUCAGAAGUGUUUAUUACUGAAAUACUGCUACUGCAUCAGGUAGAAAGUGUAACCUUGUGGCUUGUUUUUGCAAAACCUCAGCUUACAUGACUCAGUUUCAGAGCGGAAGAAUUGCUGAAUACCUAAGGGAACAUUCUAGAAGCAGGAGCCCCACCAAAGAGCUGAAAUCCAGAAAUCUGAGCAAAAAUUUUGCCAAAUCUCUGGAUGGACCCAGGGAGUUUGUUGACAAAGCAGGGAGAGAGUAGAGGUGAGCCUGUUCCUGAAAGACAGAACUGCUUCUGGUGAGAUACUGGUUUGUCCUGUCUUUGAUUGAGUACAUUCGCUGGCCACACACAGCUUGGGUGGCAGAAAACAGAGCCUUAUUAGAUUGAUUUGUCACAAGGUAGAAUUCUGGCAUAAGAAGAGCAACUUCCAGUGAAUAUGCAUAUAGUUUACCGGGGGUACCUAGAGGCAAGAAACCACCAAAAGGGUGAGCCUUUAAAUCUGAGCACAAACUCAACUAUAGUCCUUGGCAGACUUCUAAGCAAAAUAGGCAUAGAGGAGGCCACCAGGGGCCUAGGCUGAAAAAACAGCAACUGGAAUCCAAGAACACUUGGCAACAAUAUCAGCUUCUUCACACCACGGGGGAGACAAAUUUCAGUUUGAUUCCAAGGCAAGUUAGUGGCUUAUGGAACCAAAACUUAGCAAUCCUAUGAAGAAGAAAGGAGAUUUCAGAGCCGCUAUAACACACCAGCUGUGCCAUCUUAAAUAACAGAGAAGAGGCACUAUGAAAGAAAAUAAUAUUUAUUUGGAAUGAGCAUUGCAAUGAGAUACAGGUGCCAUAGUAAACUAUAUUCAUAGUAAACUAUAUUCAGGGAGAUAGGGAAAAGACCGAAGUUUUAAAAGAAAAAAUGAGAAACAUUACAUGAUUAUUUUGAGAUAAUCAUCUUUGAAUACAAGGAUCAAUAACAAAAGUGACAUCAGUCAAAGGUUGGACCAGCAGUGACUAGACAGAUAUAUUCACAGAAAUAAUUUUUGUGUAAGAUCGCGAUGACUUUUGUGCAAAGUUGUGUUUUUCGUAGUCUUUCAUGAUAAUUUUUGUUAUUCAGCAUUCAUACAUGAGAACCUUCCCUUCCAUGAAGGGAAGCUUCACAGCCUUCCCUGGCUCCUUUUUUCUUUUCUUUUCUUUUCUCUCUCUCUCUCUCUUUCUGAAAAACCAGAAGUAAAUCCAUUUUGAUUCUGCAACUUUCACAUCUGUUAUGGAUUGAAUAUUCAUGUUCCCCAACAUUUAUAUGUUAAAGCCCUAAACCCCAAAGUGGCUGCAUUUAAAGAUGGAACCAAUUAGUUCCAAGGAACGAAUUAAAUUUAAAUGAGGUUGCAAGAGUGGAACCCUGAUUUGAUAAUAUUAUCUUCCUUAUAAGAAGAGACACUGGAGAUCUCUUGCUCUCUUUCUCCUUGCCCACACAUAAAGAAAAGGCCAGGUAAGAACAUAAUGAGAAAGUAGCCCUCUGCAAGCCAGGAAGAGACACUAGAUACCGAAUCAACCAGCACCUUCCUCUUUGACUUUUAGCUUUCGGAACUGAGAAAAUAAAUUUAUGUUUAAACCAACCACUCUACAGUAUUUGGUUAUGGCAGCCUGAGUCAAUGGUUAUGACAAGUUUGCAACAAAAAAUUACUAG